GUGAUCCUUGGAACGGCAGGUACAUGCACAGCUACUUAUUCUCACCCCUACAUUAUAAAUUCUUCUUCAUCUCCAACUGGGGCAUCAACUCUUGUAUUGUGUCCUGGCUGAGUUCUUGUGAAGCUGUAGUCUGUAUUAACCAGUUGUUUCUGUGUUGGUGGAAUGGGUCCUCGUGGGCCUGGAGGACCAGGUUGGGGAGGCCCUGGCCCUGGUUCUUGGGGGCCUUGGUUUGGUGGCUUCUUCGGAUCCUGCUUCUACCUCCUCUGUUGUUGCUGCCUGCUCCAAGACUGCUGCGCCCCAUUCUUCGGACCCCCGGGCCCAGGCGGCUCACCACCACCACCCUUCUGAUAGCAGCCCAGCAUAUCCACCACAACGAAUAAUGCAGGCCUAAAUGUUGGCUCAAGAGCUUACUUGUGUGAACAUCCUGGCUGUUGAGAGUACCCCUUGCUACAGUAGUACACACACUACUGAAAAUAAUUGUCCUGUAUCUCUUGGAGAUGACUGUAUGCAGUCUUACCUAGUUACGUGGCACUUAUAUUGUUUGUACUGACUAAAUGCAAUUAUCGGUUACAUUU